UACAUCUCACUCCAGACCAUAUCCUAAGUUCCUGAGAAUACUCCAGGUAACCGUUUGCCUUCACACACCCUUCGCGCAACAUCAGGGUUGCGGUACGCCAGGAAAACGACACGGAACGUCAGGAAGGGGUCAAUGGCCGGUACGCUAAUCAAGUAAGCGUGGAAUUUUGUCUGAUCUUUACGAAAAGGGGAAGAGUUAAAAGCAUUUAUCAAUAUAAAUCGUGAGAGAUUUUUACCUUCAAGUGUGCAAAAAUGCGCAAUAUCACUUUUUGUGUGGGAAUAAAAAGGAGAAAACUUGAUGAGCACCGAUCUGAAAUUUUCGUUAGUCACCACCAUUAUUGUUCUGGGUUUGAUUGUUGCCAGUGGUUUAACCGCCGCGCUGCAUUGAU
rnacentral:sRNA from 1 species